GAUGUAACGGGGCUAAACCAUGCACCGAAGCUGCGGCAGCGAACGUAUCACCCAAGACAACUUUACGGAGUUGACGAUUGACGGAGCGAAGCGACGUCAAAGCGUUCAUUAAAGUCGAGUUGGCUUAGGGAUACGUUCGUUGGGUAGGGGAGCGUUCUGUAAGCCUGUGAAGGUGGCCUGUGAGGGUUGCUGGAGGUAUCAGAAGUGCGAAUGCUGACAUAAGUAACGAUAAAGCGGGUGAAAAGCCCGCUCGCCGGAAGACCAAGGGUUCCUGUCCAACGUUAAUCGGGGCAGGGUGAGUCGACCCCUAAGGCGAGGCCGAAAGGCGUAGUCGAUGGGAAACGGGUUAAUAUUCCCGUACUUGGUGUUACUGCGAAGGGGGGACGGAGAAGGCUAUGUUGGCCGGGCGACGGUUGUCCCGGUUUAAGCGUGUAGGUGUGUGUUCCAGGUAAAUCCGGUUCACUUUAACACUGAGGCGUGAUGACGAGGCACUACGGUGCUGAAGCAACAAAUGCCCUGCUUCCAGGAAAAGCCUCUAAGCAUCAGGUAACAUCAAAUCGUACCCCAAACCGACACAGGUGGUCAGGUAGAGAAUACCAAGGCGCUUGAGAGAACUCGGGUGAAGGAACUAGGCAAAAUGGUGCCGUAACUUCGGGAGAAGGCACGCUGACACGUAGGUGAAGUGAUUUACUCAUGGAGCUGAAGUCAGUCGAAGAUACCAGCUGGCUGCAACUGUUUAUUAAAAACACAGCACUGUGCAAACACGAAAGUGGACGUAUACGGUGUGACGCCUGCCCGGUGCCGGAAGGUUAAUUGAUGGGGUCAGCGCAAGCGAAGCUCCUGAUCGAAGCCCCGGUAAACGGCGGCCGUAACUAUAACGGUCCUAAGGUAGCGAAAUUCCUUGUCGGGUAAGUUCCGACCUGCACGAAUGGCGUAAUGAUGGCCAGGCUGUCUCCACCCGAGACUCAGUGAAAUUGAACUCGCUGUGAAGAUGCAGUGUACCCGCGGCAAGACGGAAAGACCCCGUGAACCUUUACUAUAGCUUGACACUGAACAUUGAGCCUUGAUGUGUAGGAUAGGUGGGAGGCUUUGAAGUGUGGACGCCAGUCUGCAUGGAGCCGACCUUGAAAUACCACCCUUUAAUGUUUGAUGUUCUAACGUGGACCCGUGAUCCGGGUUGCGGACAGUGUCUGGUGGGUAGUUUGACUGGGGCGGUCUCCUCCUAAAGAGUAACGGAGGAGCACGAAGGUUGGCUAAUCCUGGUCGGACAUCAGGAGGUUAGUGCAAUGGCAUAAGCCAGCUUGACUGCGAGCGUGACGGCGCGAGCAGGUGCGAAAGCAGGUCAUAGUGAUCCGGUGGUUCUGAAUGGAAGGGCCAUCGCUCAACGGAUAAAAGGUACUCCGGGGAUAACAGGCUGAUACCGCCCAAGAGUUCAUAUCGACGGCGGUGUUUGGCACCUCGAUGUCGGCUCAUCACAUCCUGGGGCUGAAGUAGGUCCCAAGGGUAUGGCUGUUCGCCAUUUAAAGUGGUACGCGAGCUGGGUUUAGAACGUCGUGAGACAGUUCGGUCCCUAUCUGCCGUGGGCGCUGGAGAACUGAGGGGGGCUGCUCCUAGUACGAGAGGACCGGAGUGGACGCAUCACUGGUGUUCGGGUUGUCAUGCCAAUGGCACUGCCCGGUAGCUAAAUGCGGAAGAGAUAAGUGCUGAAAGCAUCUAAGCACGAAACUUGCCCCGAG
rnacentral:rRNA from 1 species